rnacentral:rRNA from 1 species
UACGUAGGGGGCGAGCGUUGUCCGGAAUUAUUGGGCGUAAAGAGCGUGUAGGCGGUUCGGUAAGUCUGCCGUGAAAACCUGGGGCUCAACCCCGGGCGUGCGGUGGAUACUGCCGGGCUAGAGGGUGGUAGAGGCGAGUGGAAUUCCCGGUGUAGCGGUGAAAUGUGCAGAUAUCGGGAGGAACACCAGUAGCGAAGGCGGCUCGCUGGGCCAUUCCUGACGCUGAGACGCGAAAGCUAGGGGAGCGAACAGG